rnacentral:rRNA from 1 species
GGACGAACGCUGGCGGCGUGCCUAACACAUGCAAGUCGAGCGGGGACAUGCGACGGAGACGAAGUUUCGGAUGGAGUCGAAGAUGCAUUGUUCUAGCGGCGGACGGGUGAGUAACGCGUGAGCAACCUGUCCCUUACAGGGGGAUAACACAGCGAAAGUUGUACUAAUACCGCAUGAGACCACGGUGAGACAUCUCACAGGGGUCAAAGGAGCAAUCCGGUAAGGGGUGGGCUCGCGUCCGAUUAGAUAGUUGGUGAGGUAACGGCCCACCAAGUCGACGAUCGGUAGCCGACCUGAGAGGGUGAUCGGCCACAUUGGGACUGAGACACGGCCCAAACUCCUACGGGAGGCAGCAGUGGGGAAUAUUGGGCAAUGGGGGGAACCCUGACCCAGCAACGCCGCGUGAGGGAAGAAGGUUUUCGGAUCGUAAACCUCUGUCCUUGGUGAAGAGGAAGAGACGGUAGCCAAGGAGGAAGCCCCGGCUAACUACGUGCCAGCAGCUGC